rnacentral:rRNA from 1 species
UUAAUCGGGAAUUACUGGGCGUAAAGCGCACGCAGGCGGUUUGUUAAGUCAGAUGUGAAAUCCCCGCGCUUAACCUGGGAACUGCAUUUGAAACUGGCAAGCUAGAGUCUCGUAGAGGGGGGUAGAAUUCCAGGUGUAGCGGUGAAAUGCGUAGAGAUCUGGAGGAAUACCGGUGGCGAAGGCGGCCCCCUGGACAAAGACUGACGCUCAGGUGCGAAAGCGUGGGGAGCAAACAGGAUUAGAUACCCUGGGUUCCACGCUGUAAACGAUGUCGAUUUGGAGGUUGUGCCCUUGAGGCGUGGCUUCCGGAGCUAACGCGUUAAAUCGACCGCCUGGGGAGUACGGCCGCAAGGUUAAAACUCAAAUGAAUUGACGGGGGCCCGCACAAGCGGUGGAGCAUGUGGUUUAAUUCGAUGCAACGCGAAGAACCUUACCUACUCUUGACAUCCACAGAACUUUCCAGAGAUGGAUUGGUGCCUUCGGGAACUCUGAGACAGGUGCUGCAUGGCUGUCGUCAGCUCGUGUUGUGAAAUGUUGGGUUAAGUCCCGCAACGAGCGCAACCCUUAUCCUUUGUUGCCAGCGGUUCGG